UAAUGAGCCAGGGUGGCUCGCAAACUGUUCGAGCUCGGCUCGGUCAAAGCUCGGUCAAAGCUCGGCUCGGGAGGGCUCGACUCGAGUUCGAGAUCGGCUCGUGACCUUAGCGAGCCGAGCCUGAGCCUAGUAGAGUUCGGCUCGAAAGUUCGCAAACAUGUUCGUAAAAUGUUUUAAGAUAGGCUUUAUGUAAAAAAGUAUUGUCCUACAUCGAUAGAAAAAGUAAACACCAACUUUGUUUUCCCUAUAUAAUCUUAUUACCCUUUAAGUUCAUUAUAAUUCUUGUUUGAUUUGUCUUAUUUUAUAAUGUUGGACAAUCAAUAAAUAUGCAAAGCCUAGAAACUUGGAUUAGCAUAAAAUUAAUUCUUUUAUUAUAUAUAAUUCUAUCACCUUUCUUCUACCCAUAUUGGGAAUAUGAGGAAUAAUGCACAGUGUUUGUGAAUUAUUUAGUUAAGUUUUAUAAGUCCCACAUCGGUGAGACAAAAGCAAAAUUUUACAUCUCCAAAUAUAAAAUGUGCAUGAUAUGGAAAACAACUACACCCAUCUCUUCUUGGUGCCCGUUGUAGAGCCUAAGUGGGUUCCUUUGUUGGGAUUUUGAAAGUCCCACAUUGGGGAGGAAGCAAGAGUAACAAAGGACCUUUUGUAUUAUAUGGGCAUGCAUAGAUGGGAGUACAAUGGAUGGUUUUUGGGCUUGUCAUAUUUAAUGAAAAUUAGCCUAACAUCCAUAAUUAUUAGAGUUUGACAAAACAUAAUGUUGAGCUUAUUUAGCUAAGGUUUAUAAGUCCCACAUCGGUGAUGUAAUAGCCUAUAUUUUAAGCAGGUUUAAUAACGACUUUAUAAAUGAGAUUUGAUAAGUAUAAUAGCUUAUAUUUUCAGACACGUUUUAGUCAAAGUUAGCUAUGUUCAUAUUAGUAAAGAAAUUACUUUGAGAAUUAUUAUUUAUCGUCUAAAGUAAGUUCCAAGCACAAAUAAGUUAGUAUGGAUUUUAUAUAAUAGAGAUAUUGAGUUGAAGUUUAAGCUUUGAAAUAAAGGGCAACCCGUUUUUAAUUACAAUUUAUCUCUCCUCACUCAUGUCAUCUACUCUAGAUGCUAAAGCAUCACUCUCUCUUCUUCAUAAAAAUUUCAAUCAAAUGCCAAAGUGUAUGUUCCCAUAAAUUAAUUGUUCUCUUCAAUAUUUCAGUUUAAUUACCCAAGUGUUUGAGAAUUGGGAGAAACCCCAAACCCAAAAUAAAAACCCCAAACAAUAAUUUUCUCUCUCCUCUGAUUUUAUACCCCGUACUGUGCAUGCUCAAUUUCUGCAUUUUGGAGUCGGAAUUUGCCAAAACUUAUUGAAUCAAAGUUGUAGAUCUCGAAAAGUUAUUGAAUUUAGACCCAAAAAUCACUUGAUUUGGAGUUCGGAGCUAUGAGUUAUGGUCUUUGUAAGUUUGGUGUUCCUAUCUCCAUUUCUCUCUCCUAUGUUUUUAUUCCGACAAUCUGUUUCCUCAAUUAUCUACAACAUGCAGUCCAAUUUUGCUCUUUGUUGCUGAAUGAAAGUUGUAUAUCACUUCGAGCUAAUAAAUUUGGGCACAAAAAUCGCUCAAUUCGGAGUUCGGAACUAAGAGUUACGCCUCACACAAGUUCAGCACUGCUGCUGUACCUUGUGUUGCGCUGCUGUUGUGGUUGGCUUGUUUGCCAUGUUGUCAUUGCUAACUUGUUGCCUUGUUGCUGCCAUUGUUGGUAUUCCUUUCCAUAUGAAGGUAUAAGCUAAUUUUUCUUAAUUCCUCAUCUCCUUUGAUUCCGAUUCAAGUGUGGUGCAAUUGGAUUUUAUAUUAUGAUUUUAGAAAUAAACUUGGUUCGAAAUUUUGUUAUUGAUUAGCAUAUAUAGUUAUGAUAAAAGUUAAAAGUUUGUUCAACUUAAAGAUUAAAUCUUUCCUAUUUAUUUAAUGGGUUGGAUUGAGGCUUAUAAUUUGUAUUUAUAUUUCUUAAGUUAGUUUAUGAAAUCAAAUUUCAAUAAGCCAUGUUGUUUAAUAGUAUCCUCUAUCUGUGAAUUAGAAUGAGGUUAAUUGGAGUUAGAGAUUGAUAUAGUGAAGUGGAUUAGUAGAAUGGUUUGUAAAUAAGGAGUGUGGGUCGUUCACGAGAGGUUAGAAGGUAUGAGAAAGUUAAUUUCUUUAUCUAAUUGGUAGUAAGGAUGUUAAUUGUUGUUCAUAUUGUUGUGAGGUGAUUGUUGGAGAUUGAUAAAGAAUUUGGAAAUGUUGGAAUCUUGAAGAUUAUUAUGGAAUUGAGCAUUCUUUGGGGAAAAUGAAAGAGAGUUCAUUGUUAGUGAUCUUGCAGGUUCGUGCGUGGAAAACUCGGAAUGGAGUAAAGAAAGAAUUUAGGUAUCAAGGUUAAUGUGAGAUGUAAUGGUUCAGAGUUUGUAUUAGGGUUAUAUAACCUUAUUUGUGAAGAAAUUAUUAUAGUGCUUUAGAAGUCGAGCAAGGUAUUAUUGUAAUAUGUUAUUGGUUAUUGAGGAUGUGUUGUGGGCCCUGACCCACAGGUCCAGGAUCGUGUAUUGAAGAUUUUAUUCCGCUGCGAGUAAAUAAUUAAUUCGAGGCUAUUAAGUGUU